UAAAUGGUCAAUAUAAUGUUGGAAGUCACCACUUAGAAAAUGUUAAAAUAGAUCGAUACUUUUAGAAGACGUGAUUUGAAUAUUCCUCUCCAUCCCCUUUAAAUUUGACCCAAUAUUACAUAGAUAACGAUGACAAUAAUUGUAAAAAAACAAAACAAAAACAAAACCCUUUAAUGUCAUAACAUAUAUUGAAAACAGGUUUGUUUCUGCUUUUUUUACCAGUAUAAUAAAUUUUAUUGAAUAAUUGUGAAUUUUACAUAUUCGGUACUUAAAACUUCUUAUACAUUCUUUAACAAAUUUGCAGUACAAAAUUAUGUAUAUCAUAGCUCCUAUAGUAUUAUCACUCUCUAACUAUAUUACAUACUCAUAUUAUUUACCUUUUGUUACCCUUCACCUAAGGUUUGUUUCUGCUUUUUUUACCAGUAAAUUGUUCUUCCUCAUUUAAAAUAUUUGUUAUCUUUCGGUACUUAAAACUUCUUAUACAUUCUUUAACAAAUUUGCAGUACAAAAUUAUGUAUAUCAUAGCUCCUAUUGUAUUAUCACUCUCUAACUAUAUUACAUACUCAUAUUAUUUACCUUUUGUUACCCUUCACCUAGGUUUUGUUUCUGUUAACUUCUGCUUAUGAUGAUCCUAUAAAAGAGAAACCUCCAAGGCACCCUAUGAUCAACUACUUUACUCAGGUCUUGUAGACAGGGCCAUAGCUUCCUUGAUCAAGUCCAUCCAUCUGGAAUAGGGUCUUCAUCUUUUCCCAAUGCCUUCUGCCUUGGCAAGUAUUAUUUUAACAUCUUCUCACAAUAUGGCUCAAUUACGACAGUCACAGUUUAGUCAUUGUGACCUCUAGGAAGAGUUCAGGCUUCAUUUACUCUAGAAUCUAUUUAUUGGGGUUUAUUUAGCAAUCCAUGGUAUCCAUACAACUCUUUUCCAGCACCACAUUCAAAAUGUAUUGAUUUUAUGACCAUUUGUGUACAAUGAAAAUAGAUUUUUUUAAAUGUUAAUUUCUGUUAGGUGCAUUUAGGUUGCAGUGGUAAGUUCCACUGAAAUCAAUGGGACUUCU
rnacentral:lncRNA from 1 species